UCACUUGAUCUAGACGCUCACACUUGACGAGCUUCCAUUUGGAACGUCACAGCUUCCGAGAUUUAUUCAAGGAUUGUCGAGUGUGUGCGACUGUACCAGGCGCUGGGAGAUGGAGAUGGAAACAGCAUUUGUUCGCCCGAAGCCAACAGCCUAGCAGGGAAGGCAGGCGACUGAACAUACUAUUAGAACGGGGUGCUGAGUAUAAUAGUAAGCUUCUCUGUGAGGCAUCCAGGUAACUGAAAUGAAUCUGGGUUAAUUCUCCCUGGGCCAUCAUCAAAAAUGACGUGGUGACUAUGUUUUAAGUUGGGCCAUGAAAAGACACCGAAAGGAUGCUUUGGCUUGCAGCUGGCCUGAGCCCACUCCAGAAUGUCUGUGCGCUGCAGGCACCUUCUACAGUGUGUCACUGCCGACUUCAGGACUCGGGGGCCCAGGGAAAGACGGUGGUGUCACCCAGAGUGCUAUUUCAGAAGGGAUUGAUGUCGUUCUCAUGGGCUUCCAGUCGGUUGUCACCAACGCGUGAAAAGGCUUGUGCCUCUUGCUUCCUUGACUUACAAUGCGAUUGCUGCCACCAUAACGGGGUCUGUAGGGAUGAAGCCAGAGAUGACAGAUCCUAGCGCCAUGCUCUGGACAUGCGCAGCUGUGAUUUCUCUUCUAGGUAAACCACCACGCGUCAGGUAUUUGUUACAGCGGCCCACAGUGGCCCAAGGGAGCAGUGAAAGGAGGCAGAAAACCAUCUGCACAGAGGUUAGAAUAUAUACACAUACAACGCUUCGGAGAGAGACACUGUGCUGCAUACGUCGGCAAGGUUCUUUUGCUGAAUCUGGGGCUUGCUGAUUCGGUUUGACUGGCUGGCCAGCAAGUCCCAGGAAUCCUCCACCUUCCCAGUGCUGAGAUUAUGGGUUCAUGCCAUGGGAACAUGCUUGGAGCUUACCACUCACAUGGCAAGUACUGUACCGGUUGAACCGUCUCCCCGGCGCUGGUAAAUACUUCUUUUGUUUUCUCACUAUGCUGCCCUGGCUGGCCUGGAACUCUCUAUGUAGACGUGCCUGGCCAACAACUCAGAGAUCGACCUGCCUCUGCCUUCAGAGUGCUGGAAUUAAAGGCGUGCGCCACCACACCAGCCUCCCUGGAUGUGGUGGGAAAGCUAGGCAUGGCUUACCCAGCUUUAUUUGGUAGGUUCAAGGGACUUGAGAAGGGGAAUGUUACCUCAGUAGGCAGAGGAUGACAGGGGAAGGGAGAUCGAGGAAGCUUAAUUACCUCUUCCUCAAGAGCCCUGCCUGGAGACGCUGGCCCGGCCCAAGGCAGCUAUUGGGGAUAAAGGAAGAAUGCCUGGACCACACAUCCCACCCACUGCCCCCCCCCCAGGUAGCUCCUGCGUGCCCAGAGUCACUUCACUCCAAGCCCAUCUCCACCUUUCGUACUGCCACACGCUGGCCUAGUUGUACAUUCUAGAGAAUUCCAGACACGACAGCUCCUGGGAUAUCAGGGUUUGCUCUAGAGAAUUUCAGGCACGACAGCUCCUGGGAUAUCAGGGUUUGCUCUAGAGAAUUCCAGACACGACAGCUCCUGGGAUAUCAGGGUUUGCUCAGGCUUGAUUGCCGUCAGCAGCUCCCAGAUCAAAUAUUUAUAUUCCUUCAGCAAGCUAAGAAGCAGACAAGGCCUAUGCUACAAAAGCUCUUCAGACUUCUUGUUAUAAACAUUCAAAGUGAGAAGGUGAAGCAAGGUCUUCUUAGAGAGGGGAAAUGACGGAAAGAGUUUGCUUUUUAAAUUCUUCCUCUAGACAGAAGGACAUAAUCAAAAAACCCUGCUGAGCUGCGAGGCUCACGCAUGCUAGGCAGGCACUCUCAAUGAACCACACCUUUAACUCAGUUCUCUACUGUUUUGACUUGGUUUUGCCUGUGUGAGUGCACGUGCAUUCAGGCGUAUAUCUCCAAGUGUGUGUGCACGUGGAGGAGGAACUCGGUGUCUGAUGGCAGGGUCUCUCACUUGAACCCAGAACUUGUAGCUUUGACUGGUUCAGCUAUCCACCCUUCCUCUCGGAGCCUGCUCUGCCCUCGACAUCUUGGAAAUACAGUGACAGAUCACGGGUGGCCUGUGAGAAGUGGUUACAUGGCCUGCCUUUUGCCCUGAAGAUUCUUCUCUGGGAACAACACGAGAGAUGUGCACUGCACCUUCUUGACUCCCAUCUACAGCUUUACAAAGGCCCUUUCAUCUCAAGAACAGGACGGAAAAGGUCCUGGGUCCUAGUUGACCAGAAGUCUGUUCACCUGGCAGACGGCAGUUUAAGCCCCAGAGUCCAGGGACAGGUAUAUUGGUGAGUUUUGUUGAGGAAAACAUAAUAACCACUUUUUAUUGUGAAGGUUUUCAAGCAGAAAAAAAAAGAGUGAAAUGCACUCUCAGUACUGCCCUAAGUACUGAUCAAGCACUUGCCACGCUGGCUUCACCCACCCUCUUUCUCUCAUCUUCUUCUCUUCUUCCGCCCCUUUCUAUUCCUCUUCCUGUCUUUGCUGCAGCAUUGUAAAGCAAAUCUCUUUACAACAGUUUGCUGUAUGUCAACAAUGCAAUGUAUGUGACACUGGGAAAAAAAUUAAACGUUUUACAUUUA